UAUUAGUUCAGAUAUAUCAGAUUACGAUGAUUCAAACAUAUCAAGUAAUGAGGCAGAAAAUGAUUUAAGUCUUCAGGAUAAAAAAACGGUGUGUAUUUACAAUUCUGUUGAAGAAGCUGAACAAUGCCUUCUAUCUGUUAAUGAGCCAACAAAAGUUUCAA